UACAGAGGGGGCAAGCGUUAUUCGGAAUUAUUGGGCGUAAAGGGCGCGUAGGCGGCUUUGCAAGUGGCGGGUGAAAUCCCUCGGCUUAACCGAGGAACUGCCUGUCAAACUGCAUGGCUUGAGACCGGGAGAGGUGAGUGGAAUUCCCAGUGUAGCGGUGAAAUGCGUAGAUAUUGGGAGGAACACCAGUGGCGAAGGCGGCUCACUGGACCGGUACUGACGCUGAUGCGCGAAAGCGUGGGGAGCAAACAGG
rnacentral:rRNA from 1 species